rnacentral:rRNA from 1 species
UACGUAGGUGGCAAGCGUUGUCCGGAUUUACUGGGCGUAAAGAGCGCGCAGGCGGUCGGAUAAGUCGAAUGUGAAAGCCCCCGGCUCAACUGGGGAGGGUCAUUCGAUACUGUUCGACUCGAAGGCAGGAGAGGGAAGUGGAAUUCCCGGUGUAGUGGUGAAAUGCGUAGAUAUCGGGAGGAACACCAGUGGCGAAGGCGACUUCCUGGCCUGUUCUUGACGCUGAGGCGCGAAAAGCUAGGGGGAGCGAAUGGG